rnacentral:rRNA from 1 species
CGGAGAAGGAGCCUGAGAAACGGCUACCACAUCCAAGGAAGGCAGCAGGCGCGUAAAUUACCCAAUCCUGAUACAGGGAGGUAGUGACAAUAAAUAACAAUGCCGGGCCAUCAUUGGUCUGGCAAUUGGAAUGAGAACAAUUUAAAUCCCUUAUCGAGGAUCAAUUGGAGGGCAAGUCUGGUGCCAGCAGCCGCGGUAAUUCCAGCUCCAAUAGCGUAUAUUAAAGUUGUUGCAGUUAAAAAGCUCGUAGUUGGAUUUGUGGCGUACGGUGUGUUCCGGGCACUUGUUGUCUGAGUAACCUGCCGUUGCCAUCCUUGGGUGGAACCUGUGUGGCAUUAGUUGUCGUGCAGGGGAUGCCCAUCAUUUACUGUGAAAAAAUUAGAGUGUUCAAAGCAGCUUAUGCCGUGUGAAUAUAUUAGCAUGG